CGGGAGACCUCCGUCUCUCCAUGAAGGAUCGGGGACCCCACUCCUCCUGGAGGAGAUUAUUUGGGUGACGAUGGUGUUUCUAGCCACUCUCAUGCGUGGCAGCUCUGCGUCCACAAGUUGGCCUGUUACAGUGAUUGUGACAGAGCCCAGCAAACACCCAAGUGCGGGCUCAUUUCGCCCGCGUCAGUGCCAC